GAAACUAUGUAAAAAAAAAAUUGGUAUCCACAUAAAAUUAAUUAUCGUUGAAAUUUUAUAAUGUUGAAAGUUAAUGCAUUAAUUUAUAAAAAAAAUAGUGUUAAUUAAGAAUCAAAACUUGGUUGUAUUUCGUGUACUCAUGCAGGCAAUUAACCCUUACAUAUAGCAACCCAGCUAGCUCCGUCGGCUGGAAUUCCCUACUCGAGAGUCGUCUUCUACUUCUCUACCUAUGGCUGAACAGCAACAAAAAAGAAACAUUAAUUUUGUUAAUCUCCAUGAAAUACUAUGUAUUAUUGAAUUGAGAAAGAAAAAUCACACCUGUAGUUUUCUUCGGGUGUUAACCCUAUUAAUUUUGAUGGCUUAACACUUACAAUUCGCGCUUGAGAGGAGAUGUGAAAUUUAUGGGUUUUCUGAGAGCAGAGGAGGAGAGAGAUUCAGCGAGGGAAAGAGAGUGGGCUGAAAGGAUUCGUCGACGCUAGAUUGUUUCUGGACGCAAGCAGGGGCCCACCAACAUUUUAUAUAGCUAUACAAUGUCGUCGAUCGCCGGAAAAUUGGGCAUAGCCCCCACCACCGCUGAGUUGGGAUCGUUGAAGUUGAAAAUCGACGACCCAGAAGAGGUUGAAUCGUUGAGUAUCGACGAAUUUGUACAACUCCGUCGUGUCACACUGCCCCGACAAAG
rnacentral:lncRNA from 1 species